rnacentral:rRNA from 1 species
AUUGAACGCUGGCGGCAUGCCUUACACAUGCAAGUCGAACGGCAGCACGGGAGCAAUCCUGGUGGCGAGUGGCGAACGGGUGAGUAAUAUAUCGGAACGUGCCCGGUCGUGGGGGAUAACGUAGCGAAAGCUACGCUAAUACCGCAUACGAUCUAUGGAUGAAAGCGGGGGAUCGCAAGACCUCGCGCGAUUGGAGCGGCCGAUAUCAGAUUAGGUAGUUGGUGAGGUAAAGGCUCACCAAGCCGACGAUCUGUAGCUGGUCUGAGGGGACGACCAGCCACACUGGGACUGAGACACGGCCCAGACUCCUACGGGAGGCAGCAGUGGGGAAUUUUGGACAAUGGGCGCAAGCCUGAUCCAGCAAUGCCGCGUGCAGGAUGAAGGCCUUCGGGUUGUAAACUGCUUUUGUACGGAACGAAACGGUGAGCUCUAAUACAGUUUGCUAAUGACGGUACCGUAAGAAUAAGCACCGGCUAACUACGUG